rnacentral:rRNA from 1 species
AACGAACGCUGGCGGCAUGCCUAACACAUGCAAGUCGAACGAGACCUUCGGGUCUAGUGGCGCACGGGUGCGUAACACAUGGGAAUCUGCCCUUUGCUUCGGAAUAACAGUUAGAAAUGACUGCUAAUACCGGAUGAUGUCGAAAGACCAAAGAUUUAUCGGCAAAGGAUGAGCCCGCGUAGGAUUAGGUAGUUGGUGGGGUAAAGGCCUACCAAGCCGACGAUCCUUAGCUGGUCUGAGAGGAUGAUCAGCCACACUGGGACUGAGACACGGCCCAGACUCCUACGGGAGGCAGCAGUGGGGAAUAUUGGACAAUGGGCGAAAGCCUGAUCCAGCAAUGCCGCGUGAGUGAUGAAGGCCUUAGGGUUGUAAAGCUCUUUUACCAGGGAUGAUAAUGACAGUACCUGGAGAAUAAGCUCCGGCUAACUCCGUGCCAGCCGCCGCAGUAA